CUACGGGAGGCUCCAGGUAGGAAUCUUUUGCAAUGCGCGCAAGCGUGACAAAGCGAGCCAGAGUGCUUUUCAAUCGAAAAGCUUUUGCCAAAUCUAAAAAUUUUGGCGAAUAAGGACUGGGUAAGACUAGUGCCAGCCGCCGCGGUAAUCCUAGCGGUCCAGGUCGCAGCCAUAUUUAUUGGGUCUAAAACAUCCGUAGCUUGUUCAGUAAGUUCCUUGUGAAAUCUUAUCUCUUAAGGGUAAGGCGUGCAAGGAGUACUGCUGGGCUAGAGACUGGAAGACGUAAAAAGUAUGUUCGAAGUAACGGUAAAAUGUGUUAAUCUCGAGCAGACUAACAACAGCGAAGGCAUUUUACGAGGACAGUUCUGACAGUAAAGGAUGAAGGCUAGGGGCGCAAAACGGAUUAGAUACCCCCGUAGUC
rnacentral:rRNA from 1 species